rnacentral:rRNA from 1 species
UACGGGGGGGGCAAGCGUUGUUCGGAAUUACUGGGCGUAAAGGGCGCGUAGGCGGUUUGUUAAGUUGGAUGUGAAAACUCUGGGCUCAACCCAGAGCCUGCAUCCAAUACUGACAGGCUAGAGUUCUGGAGGGGAUAGCGGAAUUCCUGGUGUAGCGGUGAAAUGCGUAGAUAUCAGGAGGAACACCGGUGGCGAAGGCAGCUCUCUGGGACGGUACUGACGCUGAGACGCGAAAGCGUGGGGAGCGAACAGG